rnacentral:rRNA from 1 species
CGAUUCUGGCUCAGGAUGAACGCUAGCUACAGGCUUAACACAUGCAAGUCGAGGGGCAGCAUGGAGUUGCUUGCAAACUCUGAUGGCGACCGGCGCACGGGUGAGUAACGCGUAUCCAACCUUCCCUAUAGUAGAGGAUAGCCCGGCGAAAGUCGGAUUAAUACUCUAUGUUUCCGUUGCAGACAUCUAAGAUGGAACAAAGGCUUGCCGCGUAUAGGAUGGGGAUGCGUCUGAUUAGAUAGUAGGCGGGUAACGGCCCACCUAGUCGACGAUCAGUAGGGGUUCUGAGAGGAAGGUCCCCCACAUUGGAACUGAGACACGGUCCAAACUCCUACGGGAGGCAGCAGUGAGGAAUAUUGGUCAAUGGGCGAGAGCCUGAACCAGCCAAGUAGCGUGCAGGAUGACGGCCCUAUGGGUUGUAAACUGCUUUUAUAUGGGGAUAAAGUCACCCACGUGUGGGUGUUUGUAGGUACCAUAUGAAUAAGGACCGGCUAAUUCCGUGCCAGCCGCGGC